rfam:Proteobacteria bacterium HN_bin10 6203, whole genome shotgun sequence.
GUGCGAGACCGGGCCCCUCUGGCGAUCGUUCGAUCGCGAUGUCGGAUCGCAGGC